GACGAACGCUGGCGGCGUGCUUAACACAUGCAAGUCAAGGGGGCCCGCAAGGGCAACCGGCGAACGGGUGCGUAACACGUGAGCAACCUGCCCAUCUGUGGGGAAUAGCCGGCCCAACGGCCGGGUAAUACCGCAUACGUUCAUCGCUCGGCAUCGGGUGAUGAGGAAAGCCUUCGGGCGCAGGUGGAGGGGCUCGCGGCCUAUCAGCUAGUUGGUGGGGUAACGGCCUACCAAGGCGACGACGGGUAGCUGGUCUGAGAGGAUGGCCAGCCACAUUGGGACUGCGACACGGCCCAGACUCCUACGGGAGGCAGCAGUGGGGAAUCUUGCGCAAUGGCCGAAAGGCUGACGCAGCGACGCCGCGUGUGGGAUGAAGCUCUUCGGGGUGUAAACCACUGUUGCCCGGGACGAACGGGCGGAUUUAUCCGCCGUGACGGUACCGGGUGAGGAAGCACCGGCUAACUCCGUGCCAGCAGCCGCGGUAAUACGGAGGGUGCGAGCGUUGUCCGG
rnacentral:rRNA from 1 species